rnacentral:tRNA from 2 species
GGGAGGAUGGCCGAGUCGGUUAUGGCGCCAGGUGUUAGUCCUGGUGGGGAAACCCGCGCGAGUUCGAAUCUCGCUCCUCUCA